UACGUAGGGGGCGAGCGUUAUUCGGAUUUACUGGGUGUAAAGGGAGCGUAGACGGCAGCGCAAGCCUGGAGUGAAAUGCCGGGGCUCAACCCCGGAACUGCUUUGGAAACUGUGCAGCUAGAGUGCGGGAGAGGUAAGCGGAAUUCCUAGUGUAGCGGUGAAAUGCGUAGAUAUUAGGAGGAACACCAGUGGCGAAGGCGGCUUACUGGACCGUAACUGACGUUGAGGCUCGAAAGCGUGGGGAGCAAGCAGG
rnacentral:rRNA from 1 species